CACAAACAUCCAAUUCCUGGAUCAGAUUGGCUGGAAUUCCCUCACGUUCAUUUCUGAUGAUGAAAAAUGGAAGAAGAAUGGAAAUAUAUCCCAGGUAUCUAGAUACUUCAUAUUUGGAUACAAUGAACUUCAGCUAAUAAAUCAAAAAGGAAUAAGAGAAUUAGAGUAUCACCAUCCUGCUGCUCCUGAAGAAUUCACAGAACGAGGGAAUUCAUCAGUAGCUAACACCCUGAAAGGAGAAACAGAAACAACCUGCUUCCUGGCUGAGAACACAAGUGUCCCAGGCGUGCCCUCCUUCAACCCUGCCCUGCUCCUUUCUCCAGCUCAGAGGGCGAUCACUCCUGACCACACUUAGAAGGCCCACUCCGCCCUGGAUACAAUCUUUUUCUACUUUCUCUAGGAUUAUUCUUUCAUUUUUCUUUAUUUUCAAAUUACCUUUUCAUUUAUUAGUUGCUCUGUUCAUUUUCGUCAUCUUCAAAAAACAAUUUGGCAUGAGCCAGUGUCUAAUAUAUAAAUUUUCUGGGCAGUCCCAGUGGCGCAGCGGUUUAGUGCCACCUGCAGCCCAGGGUGUGAUCCUGGAGACCCAGGAUCAAGUCCCAUGUCGGGCUCUCUGCAUGGAGCCUGCUUCUCCCUCUGCCUGUGUUUCUGCAUCCCCCCCCCCCCCCGCCCCGUG